GAGAGCGCCGACUAGAUGAUAUAUUUGUGAUUUAUACAAACAACAACAAUCAUACAAUCAAAACAAAAAUAAUCAAAACUUUUAACAAUGGAUCUCUUGGUUCUCGUAUCGAUGAAGAACGCAGCGAAACGCGAUAUUUCUUGUGAAUUGCAGAAGUGAAUCAUCAGUUUUUGAACGCACAUUGCACUUUGGGGUAUCCCCCAAAGUAUACUUGUUUGAGCGUUGUUUCUCUCUUGGAAUUGCAUUGCUUUUCUAAAAUUUCGAAUCAAAUUCGUUUGAAAAACAACACUAUUCAACCUCAGAUCAAGUAGGAUUACCCGCUGAACUUAAGCAUAUCAAUAAGCGGAAGAAGAUAAUAUUUGUGAAUUUCAUACAAACAACAACAAUCAUACAAUCAAAACAAAAAUAAUCAAAACUUUUAACAAUGUAUCUCUUGGUUCUCGUAUCGAUGAAGAACGCAGCGAAACGCGAUAUUUCUUGUGUAUUGCAGAAGUGAAUCAUCAGUUUUUGAACGCCAUUGCACUUUGGGGUAUCCCCCAAGUAUACUUGUUUGAGCGUUGUUUCUCUCUUGGAAUUGCAUUGCUUUUCUAAAAUUUCGAAUCAAAUUCUUUUGAAAAAACAACACUAUUUCAACCUCAGAAUCAAGUAGGGAUUACCCCGCUGAACCUAAAGCAAUU
rnacentral:rRNA from 1 species